GAAAGGGAAGAAGAAGAAGAAAAAGAGAAGAGAGAAGAGGGUUUUGCGCCGCGCGGACCUCGCCUAGCCGAUUCGACUUCGAAUCGCAACGCUCGGUAUUCAAGUGUGUCGGCUCGAGAAAUCGCUGUAGGUUAGUUUUUCAGCUUUUCAAGGUUCUUCACCGAGACGCUAGUAGGCGUGAGAGUUCCGGUGUCGGAGAGAACAUUUUGAUAGUUGGGACUUUUUGG